rnacentral:Y_RNA from 1 species
AGCUGAUCCUAGUGCAGUGGUGUUUACAACUAACUGAUCACACCCAGUUACAGAUUCCUUUGUUCAUUCUCUACUCCCACUGCUUCACUUGACUAGCCUAAA